ensembl:lncRNA
GGGUGGAGUGUGUAGGGGGUGGGAGUGUGACUAAUAGAAGAAGCUCUUACUCUUUUGUUUUUAGGAGCCAACAGCAAAGCACGAACAAUUCUCUCUUGUGUUUUAAAUUGUUUUUUUCUUUUUCUUUCCCCUCUUUAAGUGCACUAGCAAUAACUGGGUCUUCCUGUGACAUCAGCGUGGCACACAACCGCUAACUUAUACAGCACCAACCAUCAGAUUUGCACCAGAAUCACUAACACAUCAGAAAUAUAUCAAUAUAAACAUAUAUCAUGUGCUUCAGGGUGGAGGAUUCCUUUAAAUCCUAGACAAUUUAAAGUUGCAACUAUAUUUUGGUGUCUUGUUUUUUUGUUUUUUUGUUUUUUUAUUCAGGUUGUUUUUGUUUUUUUUAACUGAAACUAAACUGGACCAUUUCAAAAUAUCUCAUCGUAGAUAAAAUUAAUUCUAGAAAUACGAUAGAGCCUGUUACUCGUGUAAUAUCCCCCUCCAUUACUACUCGUUAUCCUCGUCAGCCUUCUUCCUCGCUAAACGCCUGAAUCAGGUCAUCCUCUCCUCACCAGCUACGUGUAUGUGUGUGUGUGUGUGUGUGUGUGUGCCACUUCAACACACACUCACGGCCUCGUGCGAAGCUCUGCGUGCUGAUUAUACGCACCAUCGGCUGUCUUAAUUCUUUAGUUUGUUCAAGGGUGGAGGUGUUUUUAAUGUCUUAUUUGAUAAGUAAUCUACAGCUAGCUGAACCUGUGCACCUGAGUAAAUCAUUAAACUAUAGUCCAGCUGUAAAACUUGCUGUGUCGUAUGUGUAAAGAUUCGGAUUAUUUAUUUUGAAUAUACUCUCUCUGUCUCUCUCUAUCUCUCUCUCUCUCUCUCUCACUGUGUGUCUCUCUCUCUUUCUGUGUGUGUGUGUGUGUGUGUGUGUGUGUGUGUGUCUCUCUUUCUCUGUCUCUCUCUCUUUCUCUCUGUCUCGCUCUCUCUUUUGACACAUCAGCCAUUUUUCAGUGAAAAAAAAAAGGAAUUUUGGUUGAUUUUUUUUUAAGUCAUAUGUGACAUGUUUGAUUUCUGCUCUUUUGUAAAAUGCUCGUUUUCCUUGUUUGGUUUUUUUUAAUGAUGUGUGUUAAUUUUGUAAUGUUAAUUUUCUUUUUUUUUUUUCUUGUAUGCUGCCCUUCUUAGUUUGAUUUAUGCCUCGUAAAAUCUGAUAACUGAUUAAUCUUUCAGUUUCUUCUGGGAACCUCAUAUUGAUGAGUGUACAUUUGAUAAGUGUAAAUUAUGUUUUCAACAUUUUAUAAAAAAAUAUAUAUAUUAAAAAUAUUUCUGAUUGAACCUUUUUGUUUGCAUGUGUGUGUGAACAUCAAUGUGAACACCUACAGUGCACUUUGAAGGUUUUUUUUUUCCCCUCGCAAGAAAACCUAAUGUGUUUUGUUUUUUUUUGUUUUUUUUUUAACACGUGUCUAAUGUUAAAUGAACGCGUCGGAGAGGAGCGUCCAGUCUCCAUUAAAAUCUUUCACUAAAUUAAGAUGGCUGUAUGUGUUCAUUUCAGCGAAACUUUAGCAAAAAAAUCACGUUCACAAAGUGACACUGAGAGAACUGAAAAUAUCCACAACGAGAGUCACUAGCAUGCUUAAUGCCAUCAUUAAUCAGUUCAAAUCUGAACUCCCAU